rnacentral:rRNA from 1 species
UUACGGAAGGCAGCAGUGGGGAAUAUUGGACAAUGGGGGAAACCCUGAUCCAGCAAUGCCGCGUGAAUGAAGAAGGCCUUAGGGUUGUAAAGUUCUUUCACCUGUGAAGAUAAUGACGGUAGCAGGAGAAGAAGCCCCGGCUAACUCCGUGCCAGCAGCCGCGGUAAGACGGAGGGGGCUAGCGUUGUUCGGAAUGACUGGGCGUAAAGGGCGCGUAGGCGGUUUUUUAAGUGAGACGUGAAAGCCCUGGGCUUAACCCAGGAGGUGCGUUUCAGACUGGAAGACUUGAGUGCGAGAGAGGAAAGUGGAAUUCCUAGUGUAGAGGUGAAAUUCGUAGAUAUUAGGAAGAACACCCGUGGCGAAGGCGGCUUUCUGGCUCGCAACUGACGCUGAGGCGCGAAAGCGUGGGGAGCAAACAGGAUUAGAUACCCCGGUAGC